CCUACGGGAGGCAGCAGUGGGGAAUUUUCCGCAAUGGGCGAAAGCCUGACGGAGCAAUACCGCGUGAGGGAGGAAGGCUCUUGGGUUGUAAACCUCUUUUCUUAGGGAAUAAGUUCUGAAGGUACCUAAGGAAUAAGCAUCGGCUAACUCCGUGCCAGCAGCCGCGGUAAUAC
rnacentral:rRNA from 1 species